UACGGAGGGUGCGAGCGUUGUCCGGAAUCACUGGGCGUAAAGGGCGCGUAGGCGGCCCUGCAAGCGUGUGGUGAAAGCCCGGGGCUCAACCCCGGGUCGGCCGUGCGGACUGCGGGCUCGAGCACUGUAGGGGCGGGUGGAAUUCCGGGUGUAGCGGUGGAAUGCGUAGAGAUCCGGAAGAACACCAAUGGCGAAGGCAGCUCUCUGGGACGGUACUGACGCUGAGACGCGAAAGCGUGGGGAGCGAACAGG
rnacentral:rRNA from 1 species